CCUACGGGAGGCAGCAGGGGGGAAUUUUGGACAAUGGGCGAAAGCCUGAUCCAGCAAUGCCGCGUGAGUGAAGAAGGCCUUCGGGUUGUAAAGCUCUUUUGUCAGGGAAGAAACGGUGAGGGCUAAUAUCCCUUGCUAAUGACGGUACCUGAAGAAUAAGCACCGGCUAACUACGUGCCAGCAGCCGCGGUAAUACGUAGGGUGCAAGCGUUAAUCGGAAUUACUGGGCGUAAAGCGUGCGCAGGCGGUUUUGUAAGUCUGUCGUGAAAUCCCCGGGCUCAACCUGGGAAUUGCGAUGGAGACUGCAAGGCUAGAAUCUGGCAGAGGGGGGUAGAAUUCCACGUGUAGCAGUGAAAUGCGUAGAGAUGUGGAGGAACACCGAUGGCGAAGGCAGCCCCCUGGGUCAAGAUUGACGCUCAUGCACGAAAGCGUGGGGAGCAAACAGGAUUAGAUACCCUGGUAGUCCACGCCCUAAACGAUGUCUACUAGUUGUCGGGUUUUAAUUAACUUGGUAACGCAGCUAACGCGUGAAGUAGACCGCCUGGGGAGUACGGUCGCAAGNUUAAAACUCAAAUGAAUUGACGG
rnacentral:rRNA from 1 species